CAAGUUCGUCCACUCCACCGCUGGCGGCCCUCCUUUCGGGGAGUGUGACCGCAAGAGGAAAGUCCGGGCAACGCAGGGCACCACGCCGGCUAACGGCCGGGGUUCCGCAGCGAUGCGGGAUACGGAAAGUGCCACAGAAAGCUAUACCGCCCCGCAGCAGUGUGGGGUAAGGGUGAAAACGUGCGGUAAGAGCGCACGCCCUCCGGUGGCAACACGGGAGGGGGGUAAACCCCGUGGGUUGAAAUACCAAGCAGUGUUGCCCUUGCGCGGUUUUGCCGUAGCGGGGGCGGUCGGCCCGGCCGUACACCCAGCAACACGGGUAGGUAGAUAGAGCCGGUGAGCAAUUGCCGGCCUGGAUAAAUGGUGGAGCUCCGGCGGCAACGUCCGGAUGACAGAACCCGGCUUAUCGGAACGAACUUGUUUA
rnacentral:RNase_P_RNA from 1 species